GAUGAACGCUGGCGGCGUGCUUAACACAUGCAAGUCGAACGGUGAAGGAGGAGCUUGCUCUUCUGGAUCAGUGGCGAACGGGUGAGUAACACGUGAGCAAUCUGCCCUUGACUCUGGGAUAACAGUUGGAAACAGCUGCUAAUACCGGAUACGAGACGUGACCGCAUGGUCAACGUCUGGAAAGAACUUCGGUCAAGGAUGAGCUCACGGCCUAUCAGCUAGUUGGUGAGGUAAUGGCUCACCAAGGCGACGACGGGUAGCCGGCCAGAGAGGGUGACCGGCCACACUGGGACUGAGACACGGCCCAGACUCCUACGGGAGGCAGCAGUGGGGAAUAUUGCACAAUGGGCGAAAGCCUGAUGCAGCAACGCCGCGUGAGGGACGACGGCCCUAUGGGUUGUAAACUGCUUUUGUACGGGAGAAACACCCCCUCGUGAGGGGGCUUGACGGUACCGUAAGAAUAAGGAUCGGCUAACUCCGUGCCAGCA
rnacentral:rRNA from 1 species